AUUGAACGCUGGCGGAAUGCUCUACACAUGCAAGUCGAACGGCAGCACGGGGGCAACCCUGGUGGCGAGUGGCGAACGGGUGAGUAAUACAUCGGAACGUGCCCAGUCGUGGGGGAUAACGUAGCGAAAGUUACGCUAAUACCGCAUACGAUCUACGGAUGAAAGCGGGGGACCGUAAGGCCUCGCGCGAUUGGAGCGGCCGAUGUCAGAUUAGGUAGUUGUGGAGGUAAAGGCUCACCAAGCCGACGAUCUGUAGCUGGUCUGAGAGGACGACCAGCCACACUGGGACUGGGCCUCGGCCCAGACUCCUACGGGAGGCAGCAGUGGGGAAUUUUGGACAAUGGGCGCAAGCCUGAUCCAGCCAUUCCGCGUGCAGGACGAAGGCCUUCGGGUUGUAAACUGCUUUUGUACGGAACGAAAAGGCUCUGGUUAAUACCUGGGGCUCAUGACGGUACCGUAAGAAUAAGCACCGGCUAACUACGUGCCAGCAGCCGCCGUAA
rnacentral:rRNA from 1 species